rnacentral:rRNA from 1 species
UUUAUGGAGAGUUUGAUCCUGGCUCAGAGUGAACGCUGGCGGCGUGCCUAAUACAUGCAAGUCGAACGAUGAAGCUUCUAGCUUGCUAGAAUGCUGAUUAGUGGCGCACGGGUGAGUAACGCAUAGGUCAUGUGCCUCUUAGUUUGGGAUAGCCAUUGGAAACGAUGAUUAAUACCAGAUACUCCCUACGGGGGAAAGAUUUAUCGCUAAGAGAUCAGCCUAUGUCCUAUCAGCUUGUUGGUAAGGUAAUGGCUUACCAAGGCUAUGACGGGUAUCCGGCCUGAGAGGGUGAACGGACACACUGGAACUGAGACACGGUCCAGACUCCUACGGGAGGCAGCAGUAGGGAAUAUUGCUCAAUGGGGGAAACCCUGAAGCAGCAACGCCGCGUGGAGGAUGAAGGUUUUAGGAUUGUAAACUCCUUUUGUUAGAGAAGAUAAUGACGGUAUCUAACGAAUAAGCACCGGCUAACUCCGUGCCAGCAGCCGCGGUAAUACGGAGGGUGCAAGCGUUACUCGGAAUCACUGGGCGUAAAGAGCGCGUAGGCGGGAUAGUCAGUCAGGUGUGAAAUCCUAUGGCUUAACCAUAGAACUGCAUUUGAAACUACUAUUCUAGAGUGUGGGAGAGGUAGGUGGAAUUCUUGGUGUAGGGGUAAAAUCCGUAGAGAUCAAGAGGAAUACUCAUUGCGAAGGCGACCUGCUGGAACAUUACUGACGCUGAUUGCGCGAAAGCGUGGGGAGCAAACAGGAUUAGAUACCCUGGUAGUCCACGCCCUAAACGAUGGAUGCUAGUUGUUGGAGGGCUUAGUCUCUCCAGUAAUGCAGCUAACGCAUUAAGCAUCCCGCCUGGGGAGUACGGUCGCAAGAUUAAAACUCAAAGGAAUAGACGGGGACCCGCACAAGCGGUGGAGCAUGUGGUUUAAUUCGAAGAUACACGAAGAACCUUACCUAGGCUUGACAUUGAGAGAAUCCGCUAGAAAUAGUGGAGUGUCUGGCUUGCUAGACCUUGAAAACAGGUGCUGCACGGCUGUCGUCAGCUCGUGUCGUGAGAUGUUGGGUUAAGUCCCGCAACGAGCGCAACCCCCUUUCUUAGUUGCUAACAGGUCAUGCUGAGAACUCUAAGGAUACUGCCUCCGUAAGGAGGAGGAAGGUGGGGACGACGUCAAGUCAUCAUGGCCCUUACGCCUAGGGCUACACACGUGCUACAAUGGGGUGCACAAAGAGAAGCAAUACUGCGAAGUGGAGCCAAUCUUCAAAACACCUCUCAGUUCGGAUUGUAGGCUGCAACUCGCCUGCAUGAAGCUGGAAUCGCUAGUAAUCGCAAAUCAGCCAUGUUGCGGUGAAUACGUUCCCGGGUCUUGUACUCACCGCCCGUCACACCAUGGGAGUUGUGUUUGCCUUAAGUCAGGAUGCUAAAUUGGCUACUGCCCACGGCACACACAGCGACUGGGGUGAAGUCGUAACAAGGUAACCGUAGGUGAACCUGCGGUUGGAUCACCUCCUUU